GUAUAUAGCUCAGUCAGUAGAGUAUGUGAUUUGUAAUCUCAGGGUUGUGGGUUCAAGCUCCAUGUUGGGCA